AACGAACGCUGGCGGCAUGCCUAACACAUGCAAGUCGAACGAGACCUUCGGGUCUAGUGGCGCACGGGUGCGUAACGCGUGGGAACCUGCCCUUAGGUUCGGAAUAACUCCCCGAAAGGGGUGCUAAUACCGGAUAAUGUCUUCGGACCAAAGAUUUAUCGCCUUUGGAGGGGCCCGCGUUGGAUUAGCUAGUUGGUAGGGUAAAAGCCUACCAAGGCGACGAUCCAUAGCUGGUCUGAGAGGAUGAUCAGCCACACUGGGACUGAGACACGGCCCAGACUCCUACGGGAGGCAGCAGUGGGGAAUAUUGGACAAUGGGCGAAAGCCUGAGCCAGCAAUGCCGCGUGAGUGAUGAAGGCCUUAGGGUUGUAAAGCUCUGUUACCCGGGAUGAUAAUGACAGUACCGGGAGAAUAAGCGACGGCUAACUCCGUG
rnacentral:rRNA from 1 species